CGCGGGGUGGAGUAGCUUGGUAGCUCGUCGGGCUCAUAACCCGAAGGUCGUUGGUUCAAAUCCGGCCCCCGCAACCA
rnacentral:tRNA from 1 species